CCCUUAGAUGUCCGGGGCCGCACGCGCGCUACACUGAAGGAAUCAGCGUGGCUUUCUCCCUGACCCGAAAGGGUUGGGAAACCCGUUGAAUCUCCUUCGUGAUAGGGAUUGGGGCUUGAAAUUGUUCCCCAUGAACGAGGAAUUCCCAGUAAGCGCGAGUCAUAAGCUCGCGUUGAUUACGUCCCUGCCCUUUGUACACACCGCCCGUCGCUACUACCGAUUGAACGGUUGAGUGAGGGCCUCGGAUUGGUCUCGGCCCGCUCUUUACCGGGCGGCGCCGUUGGUCGAGAAGACGCUCGAACUUGAUCGUUUAGAGGAAGUAAAAGUCGUAACA
rnacentral:rRNA from 1 species